GUUUCCACUUCCAUGCCAAACCCAACAUCAUCCUGCAGUAAACAUAGAUACCAUCUUCGAUCUUCAGAGAUUUCUCCCAAUCUUCAGAAUAAACCUAGACACCGUCUUAAUCUUCAGACACGAUCUUCAGAAUAAACGUAGACGCCAUCUUAAUCUUCAGACGCGAACCCUUCAUCACAGACGGGUAACUUCGACUUCGAGUAACCCUACAUCAUAUCUGCAGAAUAAACGUAGACGCCAUCGUAACUUCGAACCCCUACAUCGCCGUGCAGAAGAAGACGCGAGCAGAAGAUGAUGCCAAACCCUACAUCUACAGGUGAUUCAUGAUGGGACGAGGAAAGAGUACAAAAAAGAUCCUACUCAACAUCAAGCCUCGAGCAAGUAAAAGGUGACGAGGAAACAGUACACAAAAAUGUGAAAGUAAUUAGUCAAAGUUGAGCGGUUGAUUUUCAAUUUUUGGUAUCGUAUUUGUACUUAUUAAAUUUUAUGAAACUUUAUGUCUUUUGAACGGAAUUUGAUUACGAACAAGUAAGGAUUGCAUUUUGAUGCAAGUUUG
rnacentral:lncRNA from 1 species